rnacentral:lncRNA from 1 species
AGACAGACAUCACUCUUUAGAAUCCCUGCAACUUUGAGCAAGUUCGUGAAUCUCACUAAGGCUCAGUUUCCUCCAUAAAAUUAAUCAAUAUCAGGGCCUCUGCAUUGGACAACUCCAGAGGGCACCAUUGGGGUUAUACCUUGUGUUUGCCUAACCUUCAUUGCAGUGGGCAGGUGCAUGCUUUCUACAAUGUCCUAAGGUCUAAAGGGGUAGAGUUCUGUGUGUGGCAUUUUAGGCCUGGAAAGGAUGAGAGUCUACAAAACCAGAGAAAUACUGCAGAGCUCCUAAAGUCCUUGGAAUGUCCUAAGUGCCAUUGGUAAGAAGCACACAUGACAACCUGGACUUUCCAUCAACAUUUGAAGCGGGAGCAGUCUUGUGGGAUCAAGCUCUUAACCUGUGGGGUCUGCUACUAACUCUGAGAUCCCAGACCACCACCCAUGAUCCCAGGCUGGAGGAAGCAGCAGGCUAGCGGAAUUCAGGACCAAUGAGCCAGGAAAGAGGACCCAAUGCAGAGCUCACAUCCCACCCUCCUUCCCCCAUGACAAAGCACUGGCAAACCCUGCCAAAGAAGAAGCUUGGCUGCAAAGCAGUCUGGAACUGGACCCGGGAUAGAUUCACCAGGAGCUCACCACCACAGGGAAUGCUGCACUUUGACUGGACAGAAUGCAUCCUCCAUGCCCACAGAGCAUGUGCCCAGGAUGAAUCUCACUGUAUCCCAGUUCCUCAUGCUUGGCCCCAAACCUCUUUUUCACAGUAAUAAAGAAAACACACUUUACAAAAA